UCCAGACUCCUACGGGAGGCAGCAGUGGGGAAUAUUGCACAAUGGGGGAAACCCUGAUGCAGCGACGCCGCGUGAGUGAAGAAGUAUUUCGGUAUGUAAAGCUCUAUCAGCAGGGAAGAAAAUGACGGUACCUGACUAAGAAGCCCCGGCUAACUACGUGCCAGCAGCCGCGGUAAUACGUAGGGGGCAAGCGUUAUCCGGAUUUACUGGGUGUAAAGGGAGCGUAGACGGCAGAGAAAGUCUGAAGUGAAAGCCCGCGGCUCAACCGCGGAACUGCUUUGGAAACUUUUCGGCUAGAGUACCGGAGAGGUAAGCGGAAUUCCUAGUGUAGCGGUGAAAUGCGUAGAUAUUAGGAGGAACACCAGUGGCGAAGGCGGCUUGCUGGACGGUAACUGACGUUGAGGCUCGAAAGCGUGGGGAGCAAACAGGAUUAGAUACCCGAGUAU
rnacentral:rRNA from 1 species